rnacentral:rRNA from 1 species
UACGGGGGGGGCAAGCGUUGUUCGGAAUCACUGGGCGUAAAGCGCACGUAGGCGGCUUCUUAAGUCAGGGGUGAAAUCCUGGAGCUCAACUCCAGAACUGCCUUUGAUACUGAGAAGCUUGAGUCCGGGAGAGGUGAGUGGAACUGCGAGUGUAGAGGUGAAAUUCGUAGAUAUUCGCAAGAACACCAGUGGCGAAGGCGGCUCACUGGCCCGGUACUGACGCUGAGGUGCGAAAGCGUGGGGAGCAAACAGG